AAUCAACGCUGGCGGCGUGCCUCAGACAUGCAAGUCGAACGAUUAAAGCUCUCUUCGGAGAGUGCAUAAAGUGGCGCACGGGUGAGUAACACGUAAGUAAUCUACCUUCGAGUGGGGAAUAACGUCCGGAAACGGACGCUAAUACCGCAUAGUGCAGCGGCACCUAAUGGUGACAGUUGUUAAAGAAUUUAUUCGCUUGAAGAGGAGCUUGCGGCAGAUUAGCUAGUUGGUAAGGUAAUGGCUUACCAAGGCUUCGAUCUGUAACCGGUCUAAGAGGACGGUCGGUCACACUGACACUGAAUAACGGGUCAGACUCCUCCGGGAGGCAGCAGUCGGGAAUUUUGGGCAAUGGGCGAAAGCCUGACCCAGCAACGCCGCGUGAAGGAUGAAGUAUUUCGGUAUGUAAACUUCGAAAGAAUGGGAAGAAUCAAUGACGGUACCAUUUAUAAGGUCCGGCUAACUACGUGCCAGCCGCCGCUGUAACAC
rnacentral:rRNA from 1 species